rnacentral:lncRNA from 1 species
CGCGCGCUCCCGUAGCUCGGCCGGUCGCCACUGGGGCGGCCGCGGCCCGCGUCAGGAUGCGCAUCCGGGACCCCGCGGGGGAGCGCGCGCCCACGGCCCGGCUGGUCGCUCCAGUGAGACAGCCGUCGCGUCAGGCUGCCAGACUUGGACCCCUCGGGGAGCGCGCGCGGGCCACCGAGAGCUCCACUGCUGAAGUCGGAACCCCUACCCCCCGGACUGCCACAGAGCGGCGAGCUCUUUGGCAGAUGGGAGGGACUGAUCACAGUCCUGAGACGCCCCGAAGCACAGUCCCCUUUGAGGAAGCAAAUAUUUGCCAUUUUGGCCUGUUCUGGACACCCUCAAGGAAUGUGUGUCACAUGCAGGACUCAUAAUGUUACAUAUGUAUGUAUUUGUUGGGAUGAGAUCAGCUAUAAAUAGCCACAUACAGAAAUAUAUUACAAGAUGGAUUGCUGCAAAAGACAGAUUGCAAUGAGAGUCAGAAACUGUUAUAUGAAGUAACUCUCAGUGGUAGAGCACUUGCCAGAAACAGAAAAGUAACUAACACACAAUUGGGAGAAGCACAUGCUACUUGAAGAAAUGAUCUUGAAGCGUAGUUAAAUUGAAAAAGAUGACCCAGCCUCCAAAACAUGUGUCCUGCCUGGGCUUCUCUCAGCAAGACCAAGAGCAAAGUGACAAAGGCUAUGCCCAGCAUGGCUAGGCAAAGAUAAGUCAAAUCCAGGGUAGGAUAUGGAUCUACAAGCAAACUGUAGGAAGUCAAACAAAAGUGGAGAAAAAUACCUAGAUGAGGAGAGUACACCUCUGGCUAUGUCCUUGAGUGUUUCUGGAUAGGACGAACUAAGGGAAUACUGAAUAUGAAUGGCAGCAUUCUUUCCCUCGGACCCACAACCAAUGGAAGAGGAACAAGGAAGAAGUUUGCUAUUAUAGUCAUAUAAUCUGUGCUUCCUGGUCACCAUGAUGUGCACUUUCUAAUCUGACUCAGCCUACCAUGUCAGAAUGAGACUCCAAAACUGCCACAAUAAAUCAUUUUUCCUUUAAGUUGUUUUGC